GACGAACGCUGGCGGCGUGCUUAACACAUGCAAGUCGAACGGAAAGGCCCCUUUGGGGGUCCUCGAGUGGCGAACGGGUGAGUAACACGUGAGUAACCUGCCCUUGACUUCGGGAUAACUUCAGGAAACUGGGGCUAAUACCGGAUAGGAAUCCUUGCUGCAUGGUGGGGGUUGGAAAGCUUCGGCGGUUCUGGAUGGACUCGCGGCUUAUCAGCUUGUUGGUGGGGUAGUGGCUUACCAAGGCUUUGACGGGUAGCCGGCCUGAGAGGGCGACCGGCCACAUUGGGACUGAGAUACGGCCCAGACUCCUACGGGAGGCAGCAGUGGGGAAUAUUGCACAAUGGGCGGAAGCCUGAUGCAGCAACGCCGCGUGCGGGAUGACGGCCUUCGGGUUGUAAACCGCUUUCAGCAGGGGCGAAGCUUGUGGUGACGGUACCUGCAGAAGAAGCACCGGCUAACUACGUG
rnacentral:rRNA from 1 species